rnacentral:lncRNA from 1 species
UAAAAUGAUAAAAAGAGUUAAUAAUUAAGAAAGCAAAUAUUAUAAAGGAAUUACUUUACUUUUUUUAAAAGCAAGAUUGGACUUGUAAAUUUGUCUAAACUUUAAUAAGAUAAUAGUAAUUUAUUGAGAUUUAUACACAAAUUUUGCAUUGGCGAUUAAAGGCACGCCAACGCAGCAGAAGAAUAUACAGAAACUAGCCGUUGGCGCUCACAAAAUCAAAUGUUUAUAUUGUGGGUCACAACACAAAGCUGCCCUUUUUUCUUCAUUAAAGACAGACAAACAAAUCUCUUCUUCUUCAUCCUUAAAAAUACCCAUUCUCUUUCCUUCUCUCUCUAAAUACUCCUCCCUCUCUCUCUCUCUCUCUCUUUCUCUGAUUCUGUUUGAAAAGCUUGCCGCAUUGUUCUUAUCUUGAGAAUUCCGUGAGUAUUGAAUUUAUUUCCUUAAGAUCCACGCUUAAAUUGAAGGAAACGCUGUGUUUCAUGAUCAUUUUCUUUUAUGUAAAUUGGAUACUAUCAUUUUAGAAAUGGCAGGUUUUACCAAAUGUUUUGUCGCUCUGUUACUAACUUUCCUUUCUCUUUUUCUUUAGAAACUUUUGGUGCUGUUUUUUUUUUUUUAUAUAUUAGAGGCUAUUUUUCUUUCUUUUUCUUCUUAGAUUUUGUUGCGAUUGAAUUAAUCUCUUUAUUUUGAGACGAGUGUAUCGUUGCUUAAUCUGGAUCUGUUGUUACUGUUUAUCAAAAUUGUAAUUUAUUAUGACAAUAGACAACAAAGGAGGCUUUUCAUUUUCAAAAAAAUGGGUGGAAAAUCAGGAUGUAUAUAUUAAAGUAAAUCACUUGAUUUUGUAGUUUCCUUUUGUAACUUCAUUAACUGAUCUUUUGAGUACUGGCCCGGGUGCAGACGGCACAGAGAGACUUUACAAUUAAGAUUCUUGAUUAGAGAUUUAUAAUGAAAAUGUCAGGGAUCUGCUGAAUUCAGAAUCAGGUCGAAUUCUAGAUGACCCAGAGGCAUACGCAUUUCUUUCUUUCUUUCUUUUUUCUGAAAGAGUAGAUUUUCUGUUAGGUGUUAUCUCAACUGCUGGUUAUUUUGUGGUUCUCAUAUGAAGAAAGUAGCUGUGGUCGAGAA